rnacentral:rRNA from 1 species
UACAGAGGCCUCAAGCGUUGUUCGGAUUCAUUGGGCGUAAAGGGUGCGUAGGCGGCGCGGUAAGUCGGGUGUGAAAUCUCGGGGCUUAACUCCGAAACUGCAUUCGAUACUGCCGUGCUUGAGGACUGGAGAGGAGACUGGAAUUUACGGUGUAGCGGUGAAAUGCGUAGAUAUCGUAAGGAAGACCAGUGGCGAAGGCGGGUCUCUGGACAGUUCCUGACGCUGAGGCACGAAGGCCAGGGGAGCAAACGGG